CUUCACCGAACAAAGAAAAAACAAAAAGAGGGGAAGUGACCGUGCACUUCCCCUACCACUCAAGACCACCUAAUUCCGGAGAGAUUUUCGGCAAGCAAGGGUGCUUCAAGGUUGUAGUAGUCUACACUCCACCUCAUUAGCUUAUAGAAAGAGAAGAGAGUAAGAUUGGUGUUCACCAAGAGGAGAUUUGACUAGGGAUUGAAGAGUUGAGCAAGGUUGAUUAAACUUGGAGGAGUUAGUGAGGAUUUGCUCAAACAAGGUGAUAUAGGUACUAGUGCUAGUGCUCUGACUACGGAUCAGCAAGAAGGCGCGUGAUUUGGAUGGCCUGGACGAGUAUUGGUGUGAUGGUUUGUUUUUAUUAUUUUUGUGUAGUGUUUAUGUUGUGGUGUUUGAUUAGUCUUUGGUUUAGUUGCGUAUUGAGAUACAUACGAGUAUGUAUUGUUCUGGAUGAAUGAUGAUUCUGGAUGGUUUUGGCCUGAGGCCUUAGUAUGUGUAUGAAUAUGGAAUUGUUGACGGAUA